rnacentral:tRNA from 1 species
GGUAUUACGCCGGCAGAACGGGUUACAUUGAUGUUGUAAAAUAUAAGAGCUUUCUUUAAUACCU